rnacentral:rRNA from 1 species
CGGCGUGCCUAACACAUGCAAGUCGAGCGAGAAGCCGCCUUUGAACUUUCGAGUGACAAGGAAUGGUGGACAGCGGCGGACGGGUGAGUAACGCGUAAAUAACCUGCCAGACACACAGAGAUAGCCAUCGGAAACGGUGAUUAAUAUCUGAUGAAGCUUACUAGACAAAAGUCAAAUAAGUUAAAGAAUAUUGGUGUAUGAUGGAUUUGCGUUUGAUUAGCUAGUUGGUAAGGUAAGAGCUUACCAAGGCGAUGAUCAAUAGCCGGCCUGAGAGGGUGAUCGGCCACACUGGAACUGAGACACGGUCCAGACUCCUACGGGAGGCAGCAGUGGGGAAUAUUGCACAAUGGAGGGAACUCUGAUGCAGCAACGCCGCGUGAAUGAGGAAGGCUUUCGAGUCGUAAAGUUCUGUUUUAAGGGAAGAAGAAGUGACGGUACCUUAAGAGCAAGCCACGGCUAAUUACGUGCCAGCAGCCGCGGUAAUACGUAAGUGGCAAGCGUUAUCCGGAAUUACUGGGCAUAAAGCGUUCGUAGGCGGUUAAGAAAGCCAGGUAGUGAAAGCCACAGGCCUAACCUGUGUAAGCUAAUGGAACUUCUUAACUUGAGUACAGUAGAGGAAAGUGGAAUUCCUAGUGUAGUAGUGAAAUGCGUAGAUAUUAGGGAGAACAUCAGUAGCGAAGGCGACUUUCUGGACUGUAACUGACGCUGAGGGACGAAAGCGUGGGUAGCGAACAGGAUUAGAUACCCUGGUAGUCCACGCCGUAAACGAUGGAUAUUUGAUGUUGGGUGUCAAAAGCUCAGUGUCGGAGCAAAUGUAUUAAAUAUCCCGCCUGGGGAGUACGGUCGCAAGACUGAAACUCAAAAGAAUUGACGGGGACCCGCACAAGCAGCGGAGCAUGUGGUUUAAUUCGAAGCAACGCGAAGAACCUUACCAAAUCUUGACAUACCAAAGCUAUCUGAGUAAGAUCGGAGUUCCUUUUGGACUUUGGUUACAGGUGGUGCAUGGUUGUCGUCAGCUCGUGUCGUGAGAUGUUGGGUUAAGUCCCGUAACGAGCGUAACCCUUAUUUUUAGUUGCUAACAGGUCAAGCUGAGGACUCUAAAGAGACUGCCGAUGAAGAAAUCGGAGGAAGGUGGGGAUGACGUCAAAUCAUCAUGCCCCUUAUGAUUUGGGCUACACACGUGCUACAAUGGUCGGUACAACGGGUAAGCUAAGGAGCGAUCUGGAGCUAAUCCUAAUAAACCGAUCUCAGUUCGGAUUGCAGGUUGCAACUCACCUGCAUGAAGUUGGAGUUGCUAGUAAUCGCGGAUCAGAAUGUCGCGGUGAAUGCGUUCCCGGGUCUUGUACACACCGCCCGUCACACCAUGGAAGUUGGAAGCGCCCGAAGU